rnacentral:lncRNA from 1 species
AAUUCUGGAAUCUUAAAGAAGCUGAGUGACAAAUGCAUUGUGACACCAUAAUUUAGCUCCUUUAGGAAUCCAUCUCAAUGAAUGCAAAGAUUUGGCUACAGGUUGUUUCAUAGAGUGUUAUUUGUGGAUGAUGUGAUGUUGAUGAUGGUGAUGAUGGAUCAAGCUUGGCACUGAUCCAAGCACUUCAUGUAUAAUAUUAACCCAAGUUAUCAUCAUAGCAACCCCUGAGAAAAAGCCCAUGUGAAGACACGGGGAAAAGAAAGCUGUUAACAAGGCAAGAAAAAGAGCCCUCAGCAAGAACUGAAUCAGCUGGCAUUUCAAUCUGGGACUGCUAGCCUCCACAGCUUUGAGAAAAUAAAUUUCUAUUGUUG